UCCUGCUUCUCUCCCUGUUGUUACAAAAAGUGGAUCUCACUUGAAACUCGGUGCUCUGCUUCUUGUUUUUGCAGUAACUCCUCCAGAAGCACUGACUCAACAUGGCAGACAUUCACUCCUUGCUUUUCUCUGCUCUGGAUGAUCUGGAACGAGAUGAUCUGAAGCGCUUCAAGAUGUACUUGCAGCAGGGCGUCGCUGAAGGUCUAGGCCGCAUUCCGAAGGGUCAGUUGGAGGACAAGGGGGUGACCGAUGUGGUUGAAAAGAUGGUGGUGAGCUUUGGAAGAGAGGAGGCCCUCAGAGUGACUCUUCUGAUCCUGAAGAAGAUCAACCAAAAUGACCUCGCUCAACAGCUGGAAAAAGAAUACGAAAAGCAGAUCAGUGAACAGCAGAGGGAUAUGAGGAGGGCUGAGGCUGAGAAUCAGAUUGAGGAGCACAUUCAGAAGCUGGAGCAGGAAAUUGCUGAGCUGAGGAGGAGAAAUUCAGAGUUGGAGCAGCUUCCACUUGGGGAGGACUUUGUGAGCCCCACGCAAAGCUCCCCAACCCAGUUCCCAUCCAGUGCGGAGGAGGACACAUCCAACAAGCCUAAUCAAGCGACCAAACCAAAAGAGUUAUUGAAAAAAGAUGUGGUUAAACUGGAGGACAAGCUCAGGAGAGAAAGACUGAGUCUUAAAGAGCUCAAGGAAAGAAGACAGCAGAAAAGUCAAGAUUCUACACAGGAAUUGAAUUCCAAGUGCUGCGAUGUAAAGAAACCUCAGCCUCAGCCACGCUCUCCCCAAACAUGCGACAAGUCAGAUCUGCCCAGUUCUGUCUUAGUUUCUUCGUCUUCUUCUCCAUGUUCCACAGCCUACAAAGAACCAGAACCUUUGAUUCAGUGUAAUACCAGUCCUACCGGGUUUGUGCCCCAGAAUCCAACUCAACCCACUUAUCCUUCUGGAUCACCUGGAAGGUUCACAGCCAACAAUCCUACAGAGUCUUUCUCACCAACAAGUUCUACACGUGAAAGUUCUAUGAACAAGAAUCCAGCAGGACCUUCUUUUGUGUCCAGUUCUGUUUUCAGAAGUUCUACUACUUCAAAUCCAAGAUCAAAGUUCCCUCUGUCUUACACAUCCCAUUCCACAUUUGUUAGUUCAACCAUACAGAAAACAGCAGACCCAGUCUCCUUCUCCAGGUCCUUGCCUCGUUCCACUGCUAUGCCCUCAACAGGGUCUCAGCUGAGGAAUGUGCCCCACUUUUCACUGGAGGAAGCUUUGGACUAUACCUCAUCCACUCCUCAGUUCAUGCCCAAAACUGCCACCCUUGCUGCUGUACAGCAGGACCUUCUGAGAAGUAGACCGGGAGACCUUCUCAACAUGCCAGGGAUGUUCACAGGGCCCUCAGGUGUCCUGGGAAGCCCACAACUCACAGCUGGAACUCACCUAAUGAAUUCCAAUGUCAUAAGAGACAUCAGUGCACUGCAUUUAGGAGUCCCCCGGUCAACAGGAAAGCGUCUUUCUCUGCCUGAUAUCAAUACUUUUGGUUUAUAAGUGUUCUUAAAAGUUAAGAUGAAACUUGUAACCUCAGUGGAAUGUUUUUUUUUUAUUAUUAUUUUAAAAUGAUUUAAAUUAAUAAUUUAAGACCCUUCCAUACAUUUAAGGGGGUUCUCAAAACUCACAUCUUUCAUGCUUUACCCCAGCCUCAUAAGUGCUUGAUAAACAUAUACAUGCUUGUUACAUGUAAUAAUUUUUAAUAAGUGUUUUUUUUUUUUUUUUUUUUUUCAUAAUGGCAAGACUUUGUUCAGCUAUUCAUGUGAUGUGUACCGGUUCACAUGGUGGAGUGUGACAAACUGACUGAAGAAUCUUGUGUCUGCACCCAAAUCGCU
ensembl:lncRNA